GCCCUUCCGCGCCGCCGCGUUUGUUCCUAUAUAGACGGUGCCGGUCGCAAGACCGGCUAUGGCGAUAAACGGGCGUCGUAAUAAACUCAUCGGACCCGGGGGCAGUACCCGGCGCCUCCACCCGAGCCCAGCCGCGACGCUGGGUUCCGGCGGGGGCGAAACAGGAUCGACGAGGGCGUAAAGGGCGUGCUUUUGCUCGGCAUGGUAUCCACCGUUAUCGGGCCACAGCUAUAGUUGCCAACGACAACUAUGCUCCGGUGGCUCAGGCUGCGUAAGCGGUCUGAAAUACCGAUCUUAAAGUCCUAGCGUCUUAGCAGCGUUAGGCGGGGUUCGGAGGCACCUGGCAACAGAAGCCUCCACC
rnacentral:tmRNA from 1 species